GUCGGCCGGUCGGUUUGGUCGGUUGUAGUGGCCUCGCCGCCCGGUCCGCUGUCGCAGCGCUCAUCCGCGCCGGGAGCCCUUGGCUGCGUCGCCCGGCAGCCGCGCCUCGCGAGACCGCUGUCUACGGCGCUGACGCCGCCUCUGCCUCUUGACCCCUUGGCCCCGCUGUCCUGAUCCCUGAGGUCGGGGCCUGGUCUGCACUCCAGGAAAGACGAGUGCGCUUAGUGUGCGCUGCACGUGAGCAGUGAAGUUGAUUCCACGCGCUGCGCUGCUCGGCAGCUGUCCCAGAACUGACCACGGACCCCUCCGCGGGUCCUGCUCCUGACAAGGGCCUUCCGGCACUGGGAGUUUUGUGUUAGUGGAAAGGAAGAAUCUAAUAAUACCACCACCUUUACAGUAAAGACGCUGCGAAUUGACGCCUUUUAUAAUAAAGACACUUAUCUUGCCCAAGAGCUGGGCUGGAGUGUAGUGGCGCAAUCUUGGAUCACCACAACCUCCGUCUCCCAGGUUCAAGCGAUUCUCCCGCCUCAGCCUCCUGAGUAGCAAUUACAGGUAAAGGUUGUGGCCAGAAAGCACGGGCAGCCUGGGACUCCUGUUGCCAUAGCAACCCAGCUACCGCCGAGGACUUCUGCGGCUUUUCCAGCCCAGCAGCAGCCGCUCCAGCCCCUGGCACCCACCACUGUACUGUCUGUCUCUGCGGAUUGGAAUGCACUUCUCCAGCGACCUAACAAAUACAUAUGGGGACUCCAGUACCUGGAGAUGUGAAUUCCAUAAAAAUGGAAGCAUCUAAGAGGCAGUGAACACUGGCGCCCACAGGAGAACCAGGUGCAUCAGCGCAUUGCGGAGCUGAGGAAAGCAGGUCUGUGGUCCCAGAGGCGUCUGCUGAAGCUGCAGGAGGCCCACGACCCAAGUCCCACUGGGACUAUCUGCUGGAGGAGAUGCAGUGGAUGGCCACAGACUUUGCCCAGGAGAGGUGGAAGGUGGCCUCUGUGAAGAAGAUGGUCAGAGCUGUGGCCCGGCAGCUGCAGGACAGGACGCGCAGGGAGGCCGGGGCCAGGAGGGAGGAGCCGAGCAGGCUGAGGCAGACGUCACCUGUACUACCAGAGAAAUCGAGCGUCCCUGGUCUAGUACUGCGCAGGUAAAGAUUCCAGCAUCUUGGAAGCAAGUGCUCCACUGGAAAAUAAAAGCCACGUGGAGCACUUGAUUAGACUCCAGAAACAGAAACUGCAGCUGCUCCCACCACCCCCACCACCACAGGCCCUGCCCGGGGCACAGCCAACCACACAAGUGCAAGUGCAGCCGUCACCCGCCUACCACAGCAGAGCCCCCAGCUCACCACAGUCACGGCCCCGAGACCCAGAGCCCUGUUGAUGGGCACCACCAUGGCCAACCUCCAGACUCGAGUUUCCACCUCCCACCUGCAAGGCCCAAGACUGACGUCAGCGCUGACGUACCAGAUGGCCCAGGUUGCUGUGGCCACGCCCCCUGUGGUGUCUGUCCUGGCAGUUGUGGUGCUGUCAGCCAGGGUCACAGUGCUUCCAUCAACGCAACGGGAUCAGUGUUGUGAUAAGGCAGCUGCAAAAAGCGGCAGUUGCAAAAGAUGGUGAAGAACUCAAGCUGAAGAGGUGUCUGCUGAAUUUUGUUGCUUCGGUAGGAGCUUUUCACCAUCAGUUUUUAGAAAGUACGCAUGACUCUCCUUCUGUUGAUAUCUCUCUUGAUUUGGCAAAGAGUACAAGGAGGACCGCAAAGGGUUGCCAUAUAAUCAUCACAAAUAGAUCCAGGGAUGCCA
ensembl:lncRNA novel transcript